rnacentral:rRNA from 1 species
UACGUAGGGUGCGAGCGUUGUCCGGAAUUACUGGGCGUAAAGAGCGCGCAGGCGGUCGUGCAAGUCGCGUGUGAAAGCCCCCGGCUCAACUGGGGAGGGUCACGCGAUACUGCUCGACUCGAAGGCAGGAGAGGGAAGUGGAAUUCCCGGUGUAGUGGUGAAAUGCGUAGAGAUCGGGUGGAACACCAGGGGCGAAGGCGGGCUAUCGUGGCAUUGUCCUGACACUGAGACGCGAGAGCGUGGG